rnacentral:rRNA from 1 species
UACGGGGGGGGCAAGCGUUGUUCGGAAUUACUGGGCGUAAAGGGCUCGUAGGCGGCCAACUAAGUCAGACGUGAAAUCCCUCGGCUUAACCGGGGAACUGCGUCUGAUACUGGAUGGCUUGAGUUUGGGAGAGGGAUGCGGAAUUCCAGGUGUAGCGGUGAAAUGCGUAGAUAUCUGGAGGAACACCGGUGGCGAAGGCGGCAUCCUGGGCCAGAACUGACGGUGAGUGAGCGAAAGCCAGGGGAGCAAACGGG